rnacentral:rRNA from 1 species
GACGAACGCUGGCGGCGUGCCUAAUACAUGCAAGUCGAACGCACUCUCGUUUAGAUUGACGGAGUUUGCUCCUGAUUGAUAAACAUUUGAGUGAGUGGCGGACGGGUGAGUAACACGUGGGUAACCUGCCCUAAAGUGGGGGAUAAUAUUUGGAAACAGAUGCUAAUACCGCAUAAAACCUAACACCGCAUGGUGUAGGGUUGAAAGAUGGUUUCGGCUAUCACUUUAGGAUGGACCCGCGGUGCAUUAGUUAGUUGGUGAGGUAAAGGCUCACCAAGACCGUGAUGCAUAGCCGACCUGAGAGGGUAAUCGGCCACACUGGGACUGAGACACGGCCCAGACUCCUACGGGAGGCAGCAGUAGGGAAUCUUCCACAAUGGACGAAAGUCUGAUGGAGCAACGCCGCGUGAGUGAAGAAGGUUUUCGGAUCGUAAAACUCUGUUGUUGGAGAAGAAUGUAUCUGAUAGUAACUGAUCAGGUAGUGACGGUAUCCAACCAGAAAGCCACGGCUAACUACGUG